rnacentral:rRNA from 1 species
AACGAACGCUGGCGGCAGGCUUAACACAUGCAAGUCGAACGCCCCGCAAGGGGAGUGGCAGGCGGGUGAGUAACGCGUGGGAACAUACCCUUUCCUACGGAAUAGCUCUGGGAAACUGGAAUUAAUACCGUAUACGCCCUACGGGGGAAAGAUUUAUCGGGGAAGGAUUGGCCCGGGUUGGAUUAGCUAGUUGGUGGGGUAAAGGCCUACCAAGGCGACGAUCCAUAGCUGGUCUGAGAGGAUGAUCAGCCACAUUGGGACUGAGACACGGCGCAGACUCCUACGGGAGGCAGCAGUGGGGAAUAUUGGACAAUGGGCGCAAGCCUGAUCCAGCCAUGCCGCGUGAGUGAUGAAGGCCUUAGGGUUGUAAAGCUCUUUCACCGAUGAAGAUAAUGACGGUAGUCGGAGAAGAAGCCCCGGCUAACUUCGUGCCAGCAGCCGCGGUAACAC